UCGAUAUCGACGAGGAGGAAACCCUUCCGGAAGCGGCGAAGAUUAUGCUGCUGAGAAAACUGGAGCCGGAGAUCCUGACUCCCCAGCAGCCAAUUCCCGGUAAUGGCGGACAGCAACAGUCGCAAUUUGAAGAAAGGGUAUCAUGCCAAGAAGGUCCGCUACUACCUGACCCGUCCAUCGUAACGGAGGAAUUAGCAAGAUCCUUAUGACUACCGGCGAGUGGAGUUGCCAGCAUUCGGGGCAAUAGAGGGCGCAUUGCAAAGGGGAGAACCCAUCAGCAGGAAGGUGCGCAGAUUCGUUAUCUGUGCGCUCUUCCAGGCGUCGGUGAAGGUCACUUGGUACCCGUCGCAGAGGCUGUACCACAAGCUCGUCGAUGCGCUCUCGCUCAAGUACCCGCACCUUAAAAAUACCAUAGGAACUGGCAUGGAAUCGUGGAAAGAGGCGCUCAAGCGAAAAUUUAAAAAUGAGCGCCGGGAGGCUGAUACUCCCCCUCCCACUAUGGUGGAAAUAGAGAGCCACAGUGCUGGAAACAGAGAGGCACAGUGCGAAGAGGAUGCCUGCUGCUACUCCUGCAGAUGCAAGCCAGUCUAAAGUGAUGCGGCUCCUUUUGCUGUUGGAGUUUGACAUACUCUAUCAAAGAGAAGCAGUGCUGAUGAUGGAGAGGGGCCUCACUGAAGUUUUCGAUGUACUAAGCAAAAGUGGCACCGAACAGGAGGUCAUCGCAACUACAGGAAUGCUGGAUAAUGCUUCGUAGUUUUUAGCACGUGUUUGCUGUAAGAUUUUAGUUAUAUGGAGCAAAAGCAGUGACUCACUGGAACGUAUAGUUCAGAAAGGAAGCACCAAAUAAUAUGCAGCAGCUUGCCUGUGUAUAGUACUGACCUGCUGUAUGUUCAGCUUAGCCCAAGCAGAUAAUACAAGUAAAAUACAUGUUGUACAUCGCGCGUACUAUUGCAGAUGAUACACUGUUAGAAAAAAAGGUAUAAAGAAGGUAUAAUAAUGGGCUA